rnacentral:rRNA from 1 species
AUGUGCGAGGCGUUCCGCGCCAGCGCAUUCUCCAGGCGGUGGCGGAACCCCCCCCGCCGGCUCUCGCUCCUGCACCUCGACGUCCGCCAGUUCGGCCGAGACACUUCGACGGUCGACCUCGGGGCAAUGCCUCCGGCGGUCGAGACCAUGCUGGCGUUCACGGGACUGAUGUCUUCGGCUGUCGAGGCCAUGCAGGCUGUCGAGGCCAUGCAGGCGUUCACGGGAGCGCUGCUCAGAUCACUGUCUGCGUCUCCUCCUCCGGUGACCCUCAGCCUCUGCUUCUUCCCUGUGACGAACCUGACCUCCAUAGGCCGCGCCGUCGAGGACGUUAUCACCCGCGGCGAGACUAAGUAUCUUGAAUUUCACAUCCGCACGCCAUACGGUCAUGGUCGGCUGGCGAGGCACGAGUUCAUGUCCUUCUCCCGUGCCUGCCCAGUUGCCUUCCGGUGGCUCACGAUGCUUACAUUCGACAAUAUUGCGUUUGAUGAUUCCGACAUCCCCGACCUCAUUAGCGCUUGCGAUAGGCUCAGACACCUCACUCUGAGCUCCUGCAGACUGGUUGAAUUUUACUCUCCGCUCGAGAUCCACACGCCAUGCUCCAGACUCCAAAAGCUCUUCUUCAUAGACUUUGAUUGCAGAUGGAUCGCGUUGAUGACUUUACCCAGACUUACAGAACUGCGGUGUGUUGGAAAUAACCACGAUGUGUGUGUCCAACUGAUCGUGGUUAUUUCCAACACGGUGCCAAUCUUGGCGCUCCGAAAACCCUCGGCCGGUGCGGUUCGGCCAGGUUCCGGAGCUUCGCCGUGUGUCCCUCAUUUCUCGUGCGACGCCCUGUCAUGCGCCACUCGCACUCGGAUUUGGAUUCAGAUGGAACAUCCGAAGCAGCUCACUGCUAAAUUCAGAAACCUGACCAAUGUGGAGCUUUUUGGUAUCUUUCCUAAGUAUGAUCUGAGCUGGACCAUAUUUUUCCUUGAAGCUGCACCUGCCCUGCAAAAUUUCAGAUUGUCUCGAGAAGGGCAUUUGUGUACCGACUAUGCCAUCAAGACCAAUGUGGUGUGGAAGCCAUCCAAGAACUUUAAGCACCUGAACUUGAAGUUGCUCCGGAUGUCCGGGUUCGAGGACGAAGACAAGGUGACAAAUUACAUAAGGCUAGUCAUGAAGCGAACUGUGUGGUUGAAGAGAAUCGAGCUGCAUGGUGAAAACCCAUGCAAUAAAUGCGAUGCCAUUGACCCGACGUCGAGGAGACCCCACGUGGAUGAAGCUCGCAGGCGUCGGAUUAAGGAGAAACUCACACAUAAGUCAUCCUCAUCCGUGGAGAUAAUAAUAUGUUGA